UACAGAGGUCCCGAGCGUUGCUCGGAAUCACUGGGCGUAAAGGGUGCGUAGGCGGCCGUGCAAGUCUGGCGUGAAAGCCCCGGGCUCAGCCCGGGAAGUGCGCUCGAAACUGCGCGGCUCGAGUGCCGGAGGGGAGACUGGAAUUCCUGGUGUAGCGGUGAAAUGCGCAGAUAUCAGGAGGAACACCGGUGGCGAAGGCGGGUCUCUGGGCCGAUACUGACGCUGAGGAGCGAAAGCGUGGGGAGCGAACAGG
rnacentral:rRNA from 1 species